CCCGGGUGGUGAAAUUGGUAGACGCAGGGGACUCAAAAUCCCCCGCCGCAAGGCGUGCCGGUUCGAUUCCGGCCCCGGGCACC
rnacentral:tRNA from 1 species